rnacentral:rRNA from 1 species
UACGUAGGGCGCAAGCGUUAUCCGGAAUUAUUGGGCGUAAAGAGCUCGUAGGCGGUUUGUCGCGUCUGCUGUGAAAGACCGGGGCUCAACUCCGGUUCUGCAGUGGGUACGGGCAGACUAGAGUGCAGUAGGGGAGACUGGAAUUCCUGGUGUAGCGGUGAAAUGCGCAGAUAUCAGGAGGAACACCGAUGGCGAAGGCAGGUCUCCUGGGCUGUAACUGACGCUGAGGAGCGAAAGCAUGGGGAGCGAACAGG